CGCCAGACUCCUACGGGAGGCAGCAGUGGGGAAUAUUGGGCAAUGGGCGGAAGCCUGACCCAGCAACGCCGCGUGAAGGAAGAAGGCUUUCGGGUUGUAAACUUCUUUUCUCGGGGACGAACAGAUGACGGUACCUGAGGAAUAAGCCACGGCUAACUACGUGCCAGCAGCCGCGGUAAUACGUAGGUGGCAAGCGUUAUCCGGAUUUACUGGGUGUAAAGGGCGUGUAGGCGGGACUGCAAGUCAGAUGUGAAAAUUAUGGGCUCAACCCAUAACCUGCAUUUGAAACUGUAGUUCUUGAGUGAUGGAGAGGCAGGCGGAAUUCCGUGUGUAGCGGUGAAAUGCGUAGAUAUACGGAGGAACACCAGUGGCGAAGGCGGCCUGCUGGGCUUUAACUGACGCUGAGGCUCGAAAGCGUGGGUAGCAACCAGGAUUAGAUACCCCCGUACC
rnacentral:rRNA from 1 species